GACGAACGCUGGCGGCGUGCUUAACACAUGCAAGUCGAACGGUGAAGCGCCUUCCUUUUUGGUGGGUGUGGAUGAGUGGCGAACGGGUGGGUAACACGUGAGUAACCUGCCCCCUUCUUCUGGAUAACCGCAUGAAAGUGUGGCUAAUACGGGAUAUUCUGGGUCUGUCGCAUGAUGGGUCUGGGAAAGAUAUUGUUUCGGUGGGGGAUGGGCUCGCGGCCUAUCAGCUUGUUGGUGGGGUGAUGGCCUACCAAGGCGGUGACGGGUAGCCGGCCUGAGAGGGUGGACGGUCACACUGGGACUGAGACACGGCCCAGACUCCUACGGGAGGCAGCAGUGGGGAAUAUUGUACAAUGGGCGCAAGCCUGAUGCAGCGACGCCGCGUGAGGGAUGGAGGCCUUCGGGUUGUGAACCUCUUUCGCCAGUGAAGCAGGCCUGCCUCGUUUGUGGGUGGGUUGACGGUAGCUGGAUAAGAAGCGCCGGCUAACUACGUG
rnacentral:rRNA from 1 species